CGGAGGAUCCGAGCGUUAUCCGGAUUUAUUGGGUUUAAAGGGUGCGCAGGCGGGAGAUUAAGUCGGCGGUGAAAUUUUGCAGCUUAACUGUAAAAGUGCCAUCGAUACUGGUUUCCUUGAGUGUAGAUGAAGUAGGCGGAAUUUGUGGUGUAGCGGUGAAAUGCAUAGAUAUCACGAGGAACUCCGAUUGCGCAGGCAGCUUACUAAACUACUACUGACGCUCAGGCACGAAGGCGUGGGGAUCAAACAGGAUUAGAUA
rnacentral:rRNA from 1 species